CUUGUAGGCGGUUCGGUAAGUCGGGUGUGAAACCUCUGGGCUCAACUCAGAGACGCCACCCGAUACUGCUGUGACUAGAGUGUGGUAGGGGAGCGGGGAAUUCCUGGUGUAGCGGUGAAAUGCGCAGAUAUCAGGAGGAACACCAGUGGCGAAGGCGCCGCUCUGGGCCAUAACUGACGCUGAGAGCGAAGCGUGGUAGCAAACA
rnacentral:rRNA from 1 species